AGCUCGGAGCACACUGUCAUCCGAGGCUGCUGAGGAGAUGUCGGGAUGCUGGCAGCAGUAUCGGCUCGGCCUCGCGGUUUAUCUUUGCUCACAGAAGCUAAAUGAAUGCCAGUGUUUGAAUAAAAACACUUCUGUGGGUUUGGAUCCACGCACUGUGCAGGUUUCAGUCUCAGGCAGUGAAGGCUUUCUCCCUGGACUCCUGGCUCUUCUAGUUUGGUUACACUUGAGAAGUGAUGGUACAAACUUGCGUUAGAAUGGACUUGAACCGGAGAUGCGGGAUUUAUUCACAGUUUAAGGCUUGAAUCUGUGGCGUGCAGACAGAGGUGCAGUCACACAGAAAUACACACACCCCAUCUGCAGGCCUGUGUCUGAACCUGCAGGACAACAGGUCAGAGGAGACACGCAGCACCCCCUGCUCUCAGGUCCAGAGGUCACAGACUGGGUUAGAAGAAGACUUCAUCACUCCACUCAAGUAACAGCAGGAAGAGGAGGAGGAGGAGGCAGUGGAGGAGGAAAAAGAGAAGCAGAGUGGGUGGAAGGAUGGAAGGAGAGAAGGAUAGAAGC